GUUUUAAGCAAAAUGGCGACAGCCUAAUAGGUGGAAGACGAGAAACAGUUUUUAAGCGCAAUGACAAAACUUAUCAACAUGACCCAUUUUCCUGCACUGGGGAGGUGGGUGUUUAACACAUCAUGUGGUGGAAUCAGUGUUUCAAAAUAGCCUGAAAGCAUUGCUGCUAUGACUGAUCUGAAGCCAAAUGCACAAGAGGACAAAGAUGUGGAAUCAGUGUCUGACAGCCCAGGUCCUACUCAGGAGCCAUUACAGAGUCACACAUCCUCCCCGAAGAACAAUGCUGCAGGCAAUUCAUUGCCUUCAGGAGCACUUGUUAAUGGACCUGGUUCACACCCCACCUCAGAGGUACGCUGUGUCCUGAACAAAGGCAGUGUUUUAUCCAACAAUGUCCUGGAUACCGAGUGGCAACCAGCGAAGGACGCGAGCCCUCAGGUGUUACCACCACCUAGUGAGCUUCAAUCAGACGCUUGGAAGAACACAGCAGGGCUUGUCCUAAAAACACUGCCCACACAGCCAGGUGUCAACACGCCACUGUCUAACUCUGAAGAGAAUGAGUCUAAACUGCCCUAUUCCACACUGUCAGGUGACAGUUCAGACCAAAUGCACAUUAGUCAACCCUUGAUAAACAAGACAAUAAAAACAGGAUCUCCACGGGACUUAAAAACAGAAGGACCAGAGAGUUUCUUAGAUGACUAUGAUGAUACUGAGGUGAUCAGAUGGGAUUCACCAAAAGAGGUCAGGCACUCCUUGAGGAAUGACCGCGCUAUUGAGAGUAGAUGGGAGAAAAAG
ensembl:lncRNA